UACGUAGGGUGCGAGCGUUAAUCGGAAUUACUGGGCGUAAAGGGCUCGUAGGCGGCCAACUAAGUCGGAUGUGAAAUCCCCAGGCUUAACCUGGGAACUGCAUCCGAUACUGGUUGGCUUGAAUCCGGGAGAGGGAUGCGGAAUUCCAGGUGUAGCGGUGAAAUGCGUAGAUAUCUGGAGGAACACCGGUGGCGAAGGCGGCAUCCUGGACCGGCAUUGACGCUGAGUGAGCGAAAGCCAGGGGAGCAAACGGG
rnacentral:rRNA from 1 species